ACUGGCUGGUGUUAGAUCCACAUGUAAUAGUGGAGCUAAUUUUAAUUAGAUUGGUAUUUUACUGUAGUAUAGACAAUACAUUUUUCACACGAUUAACACAGGGGUGAUAAAUCAGUUACAACAUCAAACAUGAAAUUUGGUAAUGACAGACCAUGAAUCAAAGGUGGCCAUUAUAGCGAGGUCUGACUAUAUAUGUAUAUGUACUAUAGAUAUAUGUACAUGUAUUUUUUACUUACGGGUAUAUAAUUUUCGGACAAACCAUAUCAUGUUCCCGAUUUUGUGUGGUGUGUUUGAGGGUACAAUCUGUUGGUUUGUUUGGUUGGAUUAUCAGGCAAGUAACCGCAGCAUCUGAAAAUGCUAAUUAGACUUUACCAGCCUUUCAUACAUUUUAAAUUUGAUUACUGCCAAAUAGAGGGCAGUGUUUUUUAUGUAAAGUGGGGGAUGAUGAAGAAUGGGUAUCGACAUACAAACAUCUCCAACUAUCUGCUGAGUGGUCAGGUGAGGUAGAGCCAUCUGAUGUGAUCUGUGUGUUGGCCGUCGAGAAAAAUUGUGCUGACUGGUCGUCUUAACACCCAUGAACUGUGGUCUUCUACUCGUUAAGUAAACUAAAUUUAUACUGGCAGGCAAAAAGAACAAAAGGCCAUUUUUAGGCAAACAUUUUACGAAAUAAUCUAUUUGAAACUUGUUUCAUAAUUUGAAUAAAGUACUGCCAUUUUUUAACAACUGGAUAACAAAACUUUUAAAGUUUUGAGUGACUUUUUUAAAUAUACACUGGUUUGUAAAUUUUUAAAAAUAUAUGUAUAUAUAUUUAAUUAUCUGAAAAUGGUGUAAAGACUUGCAUGUGAAUGGCUUUUUUUUUCUUCACCUUUGUAAGUUUUAUUUCAGGCCACACCAACAGAUUACUGUGUUAAAGUGAAGUUUAACUACACUAUGAGCUGUUAUUGAGUUGAGGACGUAACAUGAAGCGGUAGGCAGUGGGAAUCAGCGGCCAAUCAAAGGCAAGUUGGUCACAGCAACAUGUUGCUGUUGGGUUCUUAUAACCCCCAACUAUUUGUUGGUGACACCUAUUUUUUUACAAAUUUGUUUUCUUGUUUUUUUUAAUUUCCAUAUGCUCUUUAUUGCAGGAUGUUAUUAUUAUUAUUUUUUUUUUUUUAACAGCUUUGGCUUAGCAGACAUUUUUGGGUUAGCCAAACAUAUUAAAUAAUGUGUCGAUAGAGUUUUGUUUGUGUGCUUUGGAGGUAUUUCAUGUGCAUAUUGUACAUGUUUGAUAAUAAAUCAGGGGUGGGAAUUCUCCUCUGAUCAGCUGUUUCCUUCUCAUGGAACAUUGCGUUUCCUCGCAUUUUAAUCGUCCUUUCCUCCAAAAUGUGUCCGAUGGCACAGAUUUUAACCUAGGAUUUCAAGAAUUUCCGGGACCCCAUCUAGAUUUCCUCUUUCUUACAGUUUACCAGUUCCAACCCCUGAUAAAUGUUCUAGUGAAUGUAGACCCCAGCUGCUCUUAUUGACCUUGGAUAUUGUAUGUUUGGACGCAUUAAGUGAUGGAACAGUUUACCAGAUUCACAGAUUGAGGCAUGAAGUAAAACUUGGAAUGUGUAUCACCAUACUUGUUUGGAGCUACAGAAAAGAAGAGGAAAAAUUCUUUGUGUCAUCUUCUACAUCCCGAAUUUUUUUUUCAAAAGUUAAAAAUGUAUUUUAUUGAAAAAUAUUUUUAUGUUAUUGAUUGUGUUUGUACAUAUCAUUGUACUUUAAAUUCAUUAUGUUGUUUUAUCCGCUGCAGUUUGACUUAUAGUCCAUCCCACAGGCAACAACUUUUUUCUUACUAUGGCAUUUACUACUAGUAAUUUAUUUCUGAGCCCGAUUGUUUUCUAAAUUGCACACAAAAAUAGUAAUUUUUUAUUAUUUCUAAAACACUUUUAUUUUUCUUCUUACGUCAAAUAAACUAAAAUUAUUUACAAAAAACAUUUUUCUAGGAGGAUAGGAUGGACUACAGAAUAUUCUGUACCUAAUAUUUACUUAGAGUGUAACAGAAAUGUCUGAAAUCAAAUAGUAAGCAGCUACUAUCUGCAUUUACGAAAAAGAAAGUGCAGGGGUUAAACUAUGAAGUGAAUAUAAAUGUGUGUGACUUAGCUGUUCUCACUGGGAUAUGUAUUUUAAAAUUUAUUAGUCCGGUUGUUGUUGCAUUAGAUGACAAUAGUUUACAUAGUGUAUUGUAGUUAGAAUAUUUUCUGAUUAAAAGUGUUUGCUGGAUAAAUGUUUGGAAGUAAUUUCAAAACAAUACCAGCUGUUAGGCUAGCAGUAUUACUAAUACUUAUAGGACACAAGUUGCACAGUGCAAAUCCGAAAUACAGCAUAUUGUUGUAUUCAUGUGUGUUUGUAGGGGCGGGUAUUUUCUUCUUUCUUUUUUUAAACAAAUAAAACAUUGGGAUUCGUAGUGUAUAAAAUUAUCCCAAUUGUGUACUAAAUGUAAUUGUUUACCAAGUAUUAAUGUGAAUGUCUUAUGUUAAACAUAACAUAACAUAAUUAAACCACUAUCAGAUUGG